GGUGUGAAAGCCCCGGGCUCAACCUGGGAACGGCAUCUGGAACGGCCAGGCUAGAGUGCAGGAGAGGAAGGUGAAUUCCCGGUGUAGCGGUGAAAUGCGUAGAGAUCGGGAGGAAUACCAGUGGCGAAGGCGGCCUUCUGGCCUGACACUGACACUGAGGUGCGAAAGCGUGGGUAGCAAACAGGAUUAGAUACCCUGGUAGUUCACGCCGUAAACGAUGUCGACUAGCCGUUGGGACCUUUAAGGACUUAGUGGCGCAGUUAACGCGAUAAGUCGACCGCCUGGGGAGUACGGCCGCAAGGUUAAAACUCAAAUGAAUUGACGGGGGCCCGCACAAGCGGUGGAGCAUGUGGUUUAAUUCGAUGCAACGCGAAGAACCUUACCUACCCUUGACAUCCAGAGAACUUUCCAGAGAUGGAUUGGUGCUUUCGAGAACUCUGAGACAGGUGCUGCAUGGCUGUCGUCAGCUCGUGUUGUGAAAUGUUGGGUUAAGUCCCGUAACGAGCGCAACCCUUGUCCUUAUUUACCAGCGGGUAAUGCCGGGAACUCUAAGGAGACUGCCGGUGACAAACCGGAGGAAGGUGGGGACGACGUCAAGUCAUCAUGGCCCUUACGGGUAGGGCUACACACGUGCUACAAUGGCCGGUACAAAGGGUUGCGAGACCGCGAGGUGGAGCGAAUCCCAUAAAGCCGGCCUCAGUCCGGAUCGGAGUCUGCAACUCGACUCCGUGAAGUCGGAAUCGCUAGUAAUCGUGAAUCAGAAUGUCACGGUGAAUACGUUCCCGGGCCUUGUACACACCGCCCGUCACACCAUGGGAGUGGACUGCACCAGAAGUGGUUAGCUUAACCUUCGGGAGAGCGAUCACCACGGUGUGGUUCAUGACUGGGGUGAAGUCGUAACAAGGUAACC
rnacentral:rRNA from 1 species